ACAUGGGUUUGGGUAGACUCCAGCAGUUGGUGAUGGACAGGGAGGCCUGGCUUGCUACGGUUCAUAGGGUCACGAAGAGUCAGACACAACUGAGCGACUGAACUGAAACUGAACUGAACUGUCUGGUUCACCACUUAUAGCCACAGAAUCUAAGACAAGGAAUACCUGGUGAUGAAUGAAUACCUUCCUAUCAGGUCAGAAGCUACCUUUGUGUAUGUAUUUAUAUAUAAAACAAUAUUUUUCAAACCAAAAAUGAAGGUACUGGGAUUGAUGAGGCAUAUUUUCCCUAAAAUAUGAAUGUACAUAAAUGAAAAUACAUAGUAUCCACAUUUAAUAAGGAGUUCACUUGAAAAAAACUAAAAUUACAUAAAAUUGAGACUCUGAGACUGAGUAUCUCGGAGACUCUGAGACACAGAUAUCACAUACACAAAAUUCAGCUUUUUUUCACUGUUUAAUAAACAUUUCUCAUAACUCAUGCCUUCAGCACUAAAGCAAUUAGCUGUUAACGAUCAUGGAUAACAGGGUGCUCACAAGGGAAAGGUGGGACUGCUAAGUGAGAGUCUGCGUGCACAGGUGGGCCUGCGUGCUCAUGCACUGCAAAAGUACUUUCAGCUCAGAACUCACAACUGAUAGCUCUUAAAGCCAGACUGGCCUUGGCUUACAUUUGUUACCAUUUUUUUAGGGAAUUUCCUCACUGGCUCAGCCGUAAAGAAUCUGCCCACCAACGUAGGAGACACAGGUUCAAUCCCUGGGUCAGGAAGAUCCCCGGGAGGAGGAAAUGGCACCUACUUCAGUAUUCUUGCCUGGAAAAUUCCACGGACAGAGGAGCCUGGUGGGCUACAGUCCAUGGGGUUACAAAGAGUCGGAAAUGACUUAGCAACCAAACAACAGCAAAAAAUGUCUCUAACAAUAAUGUGAAUGUCAAACGCUUAACUUUAAUGUGCAUGUCAAACACCUGGAGAUCUUAUUAAAAUGCAGAUGUUGAUUCUGAGGCGGCUCCUGCGAUUUCCCCAUAUUUCUAAUAAGUUCUCACUGAGGUGAUAUCUAAUGCUGCUGGCCAGAGGAUCACACUUUGAGAAGCAAACCUCUAGAACCAUGAAAUUACCAUCUACCAUAAUCUAGAGGAAGGACGCCUCCAGAUUAGCUCAGAAUGGAAAUGGAAACUAUAGAAGACUUAGUUCCCAAGAGACAAAAAGGGGCCCUAAUUAAAGAAAAGCAGAGAGGAACUUCUCUGGGACCUUCUUCCCAGUCCACAAAAAUGGAAAAAACAAACAAACCUGGCCUUCUCCUUGCAGUUUUUUGUGUUCCUUAAGAAGUUGCUCCACAUGCAUCACACUGUCUCCAAUGUCGGAAAACUCUGCUUGCUCUGCCAACAAGUUGUCCAGGGCUAGCUUAACCUACAAGACAUAUUAGAAAGCCCAGAAAUAAGCCAAUGGACAUCCCAUCUGCAGGUAUAGGCUUGUCAUACUCUAGACAACUUGAAAAUCCAAAAACGAUUCAAGAUAUGUGUAUAUCUAUAUAGACUUUUUUUUAAACAGCUCAUCAGCUUUCAGAUUAAACUGGGGGUACUGAAAUGCCUUAAUAAAUACCUCAUAAAUGUGAUGAAUGACUGAAGAAUAAAUUCAAAAUGCAAAUAAUAAUGUUAAAAGCAUAUCAUCUAAUCCCCAAUUAAA